UACGGAGGGUGCGAGCGUUGUCCGGAAUCACUGGGCGUAAAGGGCGCGUAGGUGGCCUGUGGAAGUCUGCGGUGAAAGCCCGGCGCUCAACGCCGGGUCGGCCGUGGAUACUCUCGGGCUCGAGCUUACUAGAGGCAGAUGGAAUUCCGGGUGUAGCGGUGGAAUGCGUAGAGAUCCGGAAGAACACCGGUGGCGAAGGCGGUUAGCUGGGCAGUUGCUGACACUGAGGCGCGACAGCGUGGGGAGCAAACAGGG
rnacentral:rRNA from 1 species